rnacentral:rRNA from 1 species
AUUGAACGCUGGCGGCAGGCCUAACACAUGCAAGUCGAACGGUAACAGGAAGCAGCUUGCUGCUUUGCUGACGAGUGGCGGACGGGUGAGUAAUGUCUGGGAAACUGCCUGAUGGAGGGGGAUAACUACUGGAAACGGUAGCUAAUACCGCAUAACGUCGCAAGACCAAAGAGGGGGACCUUAGGGCCUCUUGCCAUCGGAUGUGCCCAGAUGGGAUUAGCUAGUAGGUGGGGUAACGGCUCACCUAGGCGACGAUCCCUAGCUGGUCUGAGAGGAUGACCAGCCACACUGGAACUGAGACACGGUCCAGACUCCUCCGGGAGGCAGCAGUGGGGAAUAUUGCACAAUGGGCGCAAGCCUGAUGCAGCCAUGCCGCGUGUAUGAAGAAGGCCUUCGGGUUGUAAAGUACUUUCAGCGGGGAGGAAGGGAGUAAAGUUAAUACCUUUGCUCAUUGACGUUACCCGCAGAAGAAGCACCGGCUAACUCCGUG